rnacentral:lncRNA from 1 species
GGGGAUGGGAAGAGUCACUCACCGCUCAAAGGACAGUGGAUCCAUGCAGCUGCCUUUGAAAGCAUUGUGGUAACAUCUGGUGAAGUUGAAAAUGUGGAUACGAUUGACCCAAGAAGCGUCUAUAUAGAUAUGAAUCCUGAAGUAUUUUGAAACUGUGCACAAGGUGACACACUCAAGAAGUUCACGUCGAGGACCUGAGGCAGAAAAGGCUGAUUCUGCAGCCACCGGCAGUUACACAGCUCAGUGCCCAUUGCAGAAGAAAAACAUAAUGAUGGGAGAACAAGAGAGUUUGAUGCGAUCUGCGUCCUCUCUGAGGCCAAGAGCUCCAUCCUGGAGAACUCGUUCCCACCUGAGAGGCAGUUUCUAAACAGAAAAGAACACCUGGUAAUGAAGAAGUGUCGCACUUGGGAGGAUGAGAUAAGGGAACAAGGACUAUAGAGAUGGAAAGAUGAACCAUGGCCUCGCAGUUAACAGCUGACUUGAAUUCGUGACUGUCUGAAUUAAGAGUUU